UUUGUAAUCGAAAUGAUUUAUGUUUAUUGCCUGGGGCUUGUAAUGCAUGUAUAAAAGCGCGUCGUAUUUAAUUUUCCAGCGUAUGUUCUUUGUGGAUAAUGGAUGUUAACAAGCUUUCUCCACAUGCAAUAAACCAUUUUCAAGUUGUCCGUUUAACUUCACCUGGAAGCUCGGAAUAUAAUGGAUUCGUAAUGAAUUUAAAAUCGAGCACUUUUGAUACCGUGCUCCAAGAUGGAAGGCAUUCAGUACAGUUAAGCGCAAUGUGUUCCAUUAAGAUGGUUUUUGCUUCAAUUUGAAGAUGUUCAAGCUCGAACGACAAUCGUCUGAAAUUGAAGACCGAAUGUGAUGAGAAACAAUUGCAGAAUCUCGCUAAAUGAUUCCUAGCUACAGUUUACUCCAUUUCAAUGGUACCAAAAAUUGGUUUAAAAUUAUGGACUAUAUUGCAAAAAAUUGAAGUGGAUCGAUCUGGGAAAUCCGAAUCUUGAGGAGACGGGAAAUGUAAGAAACGUCUCCAAAAGCUGCUUCCCGACAAGACAAGAUCAAACUUCUCAAUCAUAAGCAUCUAUAAAGCAGAAGAAUGUUGGACUCCUCAACUCGUACCUUGAAAAUGUUAGAGGUAUCGUCUUUUGUCUGGCUGAAUUAAGGUAGUUUGAUAUUUUUGCAGAGACAAAUGAAUUUCCUUACUGAAAGUUUUAUAACUUCCAGUUUUUCUACAAAGUGAAGUUUUAUUGGUGUAAUUGUAUGUAAUCGUACGAGAAUGUUCUACUCGCGUCCUCUUUCAUAAUCAAACUGCAAUGAGAAUUUUUUGGCUGUUCAGAAUAUAGUUCCUAUAUAUCUAAUUGUCAAGCUUAAUUAAAUAAGUUGUAGAAGUAAAAUUUCUUCUAUCUUGGCUUCUGACGAAAUUACAUUAAAUAGCACUGGCAAUAUGUGUGCCAUAAUCUUCACAAUCGGCUCGAAUUUAUUAUGCAAGCUACGCAUCUUAAAACAUGUAGAAUCUUGGCAGACUUCCUAGUAAUAGGUCAUCAGCUUUCAUGUAAUAAACAUAUUUACUAAAUGUCAUAAUGUAUUUUUAACGUGCCACCCAUCAUCUUAACUAGCCAUAUCUUAAGUUUAAUUAUAUUAACGUUCCGUUCUACAGCGGCUUUAUUUUUGGAUCUCGUAAUCUUGAAACGCAAUCAAGUGACAUGUGCAGACGUGUCUAAAGCGUAAGCUAUAACUAUCGAUACGCGCAAGAAUUGUCCAAUGUCAAUGCUCUAAAUAUUUCUGGAUCAAAUGCUAUAUUUAAAACUACGUUUUUAGUCUUAAUGCAAAUUCUAGUUAAAAAUUUAUAACUUUAUAGCUUUCAUCUUUGUCUAUAGAUACUCGUAUUGAUUAUUCCCCAUGAGAGAAUACAAAUGUGAAGUGAAAUGACUCGAGGGAAUACUUCGAUGCCUUCCGUAGCUUGCUACACAUAUAACGAACUUCAUACUCAAAGCAAUUCCGAAAUACGCUUCCAGUUAGUAAUAUAUCGUAAUUAGUUUUUCUAAAUAUAUGUAAUCAAAAUGUAUGCAAGGACUAAACGACGUAUCAAAAUAUAAAUUCUUGUUAACUUAAUUGCUUCGUAAUAUCCAUUUUAAAGUUAUGAAAGAUGCUGGAUAAAAUGGAAGCAUUCAAGUGUCUACUAGAGCUUUAAAAUCAGUUUUAAAACCAAGGGUAUAAAAAAUGUGUAGGGUGCACAUUAGGAAGGAAGAUCAACAUUUCUGAUUUAUUGAUUGUAAUGCAGGACUUAAAAACUUAAAUUAUUGAAAUUUAAUGCAAUCGGGUAUAUAAAGGAACGGAUACCAAUGUUAAAAGUAAUACUCAAAUUUUAAUUGGUAAAUUAAAUAUAUUAGUGGGCGUAAGGAAAUGGGAAGAAUCCGUCAAUUGCCUGACCGCUCCCUGUCUACUUUCCGUCUUGGGUCGUACGGGACCGGCGGCCUAAGCGGGAAGUACCGGUCCCCAGGGAUCAGUUAAUUGACGUGUUGAUCGCUUGAAUGGGUUGGUGAAGGCAAUUACGAUAUUUCGGCAUAAUAUUGUAUGAAUAGCUUUUGAGAUUGUUGGUGUAUGGGGUUAAGUGUGUCAAAGGCAUGAAUGUAAGUGUGUGUGUGAUACUUUUAACAUUGGUGGUGCGUUUUAAAUAGUUAAUUGGCUAUAAUUCUUACCAAAAGUGAGGAUCUUGUUUUAUUUCAAACCUCAACCAAUUAUCAGAAAAUGUUGAUCGCAUUUGAGUCUUCGUAGAAUAGAAUAAGGGCUUUGUAGUAAAUUAUGAACACUCAAAAGAAUGAAAUCCUUUUACUAUUCUAAAAUUCUUCUAAUAAAACGGCCAAUUUUAUGAAAAUAAAAUAAAUCCUUUUAAGAAUGUCUACACUUCUAUCACGCUAGAUUAAUGAAUAUAGAGUUUAAAAUGCAAGUACUUGACAGAAGACAAAGUAACCCAAUUGUCCCAUACAAUAGCAAUAAUAUCUGAGCACCUCAACGCGUCGUUUAGUGCAAGAACGAGUAUCGUAAAUUUUUAAUCGAAUCGUUACGACUAAAUUGGUUUUCUGAGCACCAUAGUUGUGAUCGUAGGGAAAAGCAUUAAAAGAUAAUGCAACAUUUAGUUGCGAAUAUAAACUAAAAGACGAAAUUUGAUUUUUAUGUACCGUUCCAUCAAAAUUAGCAGAUAGAGGCAAAUUUGAUUCUUGUAUCAAAAAAGCAACAUAAUUUAUCGGUCUUUUUAUAACCCUCUAGGUAAAAAAUCGAAGACGAGAUCACAUUUCCAGGAAUACGCAUUUCGAACGUUAGUCCAUAAGAACUUGCCCUAUGCAUAAUUUCAUUGGCUCUAAUCUUCAGGAUCACGUAAAGGUAAAAGCAAUCAAUUCACUUCUAAAAUCUGUUGGCCAGCUGAAUAUUCAGUUAGUAUUAAUCCUACCCAUAAUGAUUAUGUUUGCCCGAAUUGCAAUAAAUCUUAAAGGCUAGUGAUGGCAUGUUGAAAAUAUUUAACUAAACCUUUAAACCCAAUUUCGAAAGUUAGAAUCGAUUACUUUAAUAUUAAGCAGAACUUAAGUUGAAGUUUGAGUAAUCUUUUCUCGUAUCAGUUUAUAAAAACUUUGAACAAGUGGUUUAUCUUUAGCUAUACACGAAUUAAAGAAUUAUAAACUACGUAAACUAAUUUAACAAUCGCCUAUUUCGUUUGAAGCCAAGAUCUGUCGUUAAAUUAAGAUUUGGUAACUUUUUAUACAUUUUUCUUCCAAAAUAUAUAAUCGGUCUGCAUUGUUCAAUUAAUAUAAGAAUGCAAGAUGUCUGUUCUUUAAGGUUAUUUAAAUAGUUUUAAGUGUUAAUUUUUAAAGUCAAUGUUAUAUAUCGAUGUAAUUUGCAUGUUCAAGAAAUUCAAAAUUAAAUGCUUUUCAUCAGAGAACUCUUCGUUCAAGUUUUCACUAUUGACGAUCAAACUUAUGCUUAUGCAUAGAAUGUAAGAAAGUAGAUACAAAAGCAUUACAGUAAAUAUGUGACUAUUGUUGUAUCUUGAUAAACAUGCAUUUAAAAGAAGACUCAAACACUCUUUAAGAUUAAGACAACUGGAAUGUUCAUAAAAAAAAUCUAGUUUUUGUAACUUGAUGUUACAAGUAAAUUUUAAAUAUUGUGUAGAACUUAGCUUAUAUUAAAAGAACGAGUUGCUUAGUUUAAAAAACGAAUUAUUAAGCAACAUUUGCUUUCUAAUUGCUAAUCUGUGGUUGAGUUUCAUCGUAUCGGAAAUUGGUACGCUCAGAAAGACUGGAUCAAGUUGAUUAAAAGUUAAUAGUGAAUUUGAAUAGAUUCAGUAAUUAGUGAAAUUUUCAUUUUGAUCAAUUUGCAAUAAUUCUGAAUGUUAAAUUUAGCUCGACUAGAAAAUUUAACUCUAUAUUUUACUUCAUAAAACUUCAAAUCAUAUUACUGAAAUAUAUGCUUGAUUGUAAAUACUCUUGUAUAGAAUUUGAUGCGGUUGAAACAUUUUUUCUGUGCGUACCGAAAUUUAGAAAACGCAUUUCCUCAAUUUGGAUGUUUAAGAGCCCAUAAUGGCUACAACUUGAGCUUUGUUCAAUAUAUUAAUUUCUAUAAAUAGAAUGAUCUAUUUCACACUUCCGAAAGGAUUUUUAAAAGUGUAAAUGUUCUUGAAAGUGUUUUUACUUUCAAAUGAGGUUGCAAACCGACAGCUGUAUCGUAUUCAUGUCAUACUUCUGUUUGCAUAUAUUUAUAUUUAAAUUUAUAUAUAUUUUUAUUACGUAAAUUUAUAUAAGGCUGGAUGGCGCAUGGUAGAUUCGCGGCUGAUUACAUUUGUUUGCAUGAGAUUGUAUUAUCUUGCUUUGUCAGAUAAUAUAUUGCAAGUUACUAGUAAUAGAAUACGUGCAUCUGAAAUUACUACCUUUAAAUUUAUAAAAAUGGGCUUUUAUCGGUAUAUGGAAAAGCUAAUUCGGAAUAAAUUUAAACUGAAACCUUUAAAAAUCUGAAUCGCCAUUUGACUCUAAACCUUAAACUUUGAAUAAAUCCUUAAAUUGUCUUGCAAAUUCUAAAUUCAUUCGUUUAUAGAAUCUGACUCGGUUAAGGCGGCUACGGUACAGAAAUCUAUUCAUUAUAGUAACGGAUUCAUAAACAAAAUUCUUUGUAAAUCGAAAUCUCAUUUAACUGCUAAAGUGCUUUCUAUCGGACCAUGCAGAAAAAUUUCUUUUUUGAAAAAAAAUUGUGCUUAAAAACUUUAUGUAUAAUUUUAAAUUCGAUUUUACAUAAAUUAAGUCGUAAUGCUUAACAUUUGAAAUACUGAUACUUGCAAAGUUCUAACAAUUAAAAUUAAAUAUAAUAUGCGUAUUUAGCAUCAAAUGAAAUUGAAAGAAUAUUUUCACUGCAGGAGUGUUUGGGCGGCAAUGGUUAUGAUUACAUAAAUCAGCCUAAAGUACAUAAGGAAGUGAUAAAAUUUUAUUUCCGCAGAAAUUAAGAAUUAGCUUAAAUAAGCACGAUCGGUUUACGAAAUCUAGUUAUUUUUUAUUGCAAAGAAUGGAAUAAAAUCGAUAAACUGAUAACCUAUAUUUCAGAAUUUAACAUAAUGCAGAAAUUAUCAAAGAAACAAAUAAUUCUUCUAAGAACUGCAAAUUUUAAUUAUAAACUAUAUGCUGGGAAAAAUUUCAAAAUUUGAGUGCAAACAUAAUUUAUGAGAGAACUAACGAACCAACUGCUCGAAAUAUUCCAAAUCGACUGGUAAGAAUUCCAUCACUUAAAGAUUUUUCUAAUGUCGUCUAUAUUUUAAUUUUAUGUCGAAUAUUAGUUAAAAUACCCAAUAAUUUCAAUUUCUUUCAUUCAAGUAUUCAGCGUAGUUACAAGCAGAGCAUGGGGAAAGUGUCAACUUGUUAAUUCUUAGUAACUUGUGCUCUAAACGUCCUAAUUAUGCUGAAAGUGGCAAGGAUGAAACGAAAAAUUUUCAUUUGAGACAUUCUCGUCAGAUGCUUUGGUAGUAUCAAGAAUCCUAAAUUAUUAAAAUAUUGAAAUCGAAAUAAUUAAGUAGUAUUGAAUAAUAUAAUUAAAAUAUUGAAUCGAAAUCUGUUUAUUAGCGGAAAUUCGGCGAAAGCUAACGAGUUGAUCCUGAAACUAAAUUUGCUGUUCAAUAUCCUUUAACUAAAAUGCGUUAAAUAGAAUUUAGUUAAACGAAAAAGAUGGCUUCUAGCUUUGCCGGCGGAGCUACUGGCCGUCUGAUUAGGAAUCGAAGCAUUUCGGUUGUGAUGCCUGGCCAUCAUCAUGAUGGGAGUGCUUCAAAAUGCUUAAUUAUUUUAUCUAAUCUCCUUAUUCUGAAUAGUCUUGCUCAGCAAAUUUAAGUUUCUAAUCUAACGUCUUAAAAAUUAGUUCGUAUUACAAAUCGAAUAUUGAAUCGUUCCGAUUCACUGUAUCUGAGCACUAAUUAGAAGAGAUGUGCCGAUUUCUAACCCCAGAGUCGUGGUUAGGAUACUUCUAAAUGGCAAGGAUCUUGGCAAUCAAAUGUUUUAUAUUCAGACUUCAAAAGCUAAAUUGGAUUACGAAUAUUUUGAAGAUCAAUUAUCUAAUCUCGUCUUUCUCGACAGAUUCGGGUGUCAGUCUCCUUGUGUGACCGCGGUAAAAAUUAUGAAUUCCGUCCUAAAAUAGUCAGUGUUGUUAUAAAGUGAUGUUAAGUUAUUUUAAGUUUUAGUCAUUAAGUGCCGUAUAAAACCGAAACAAAAGCCGUAAUUUAUGCUGCAACUGGGGUGGCUUUAGUUUUCUGAAAGUUAAUCGUUCAAAUUCCUGUCGUACUUGCCUCCAGCAGCUAAGUUUCUUUCUAUAUAAAAAUUAAAACCUCGUGCAAGUACUAGACAGCAAUUCCUUAGCAAUAAAAAAAAAUUGAAUAAGUACAUCUCAUCUUGAAACUUUAGCUCAAACCGAAAUGAAAUUUAAGAAAGGCUGUUACAAGUGCAUUUCUAUCGAUUCUUUUCAGAUUAUUUAGUAAAAUUAAAAAAAAAUGAUUUUGACUUGCAAUGGGACUGUCAUUAAUUGUGCUAGCCAGUUAACUGACAGUCCGCUAAACUUCCAAGGGUAUAUUGAUGUCGAUGUCUGAUCAACAUCGGUAUCAAAGUGACUUUGGACCUUAUUUUAAUGCAAAACUUCAAAUAGUUGAAUAUGGUUUCUGACACAGAGAAAUGUUUAAUUUUUUUUAUAGAUUAAGUAUUGACUUUCGACUUGGCCUUUCUAAAUUUCAUUUCAAGAAUUUUUUCGGCCUUUCGACGAUUUUUUAAAAUAUUUGGAAAUGGCAGAAUCUUGAAUUUAUAUCAUUUGAGGCAAUUUUAUCCAUUGAAUUAAAGUAAUAAAAUGCAAAGGCAAUCUUUUGUUAGAGCAAUCGAAACCAACAUUUUUAACGCCAAAUAAGUCCUAUCUUAAGCCUUAAUCAAUAAAUCCCAAAAGCUUAACACUUUAAAUUGAUCGCAAAUGAGCGUAACUUGAAUAUUAAUUAAUGUGGCACUUAAAUUCGCUCACCUUUCCGAAACAUUAAAUUCAACACUUUUAUACAAAACCGUAAUCUGUAUCGCAAACGAAAAUAGGUUAAAAUUCCAAUAACAGCUUGUGCAAAUUAUCUAAAACGACUUCUUUUCCGUCGAAUUGAAAAAUUCAUAUACCGAAAUCGUGCAUGAGUAAUUUCCUCCUCGAAUUUGUUAUGCCUUCGAUGUCCUAACAAUUACUGCAGUUUAGUAAAAUACCAGGCAACGGUUCAGUUCAGUCUAGUAUAUUAGCGAUAUGUCUCUUGUGUUAAGUUUAAACUGUAACUUAUUUUUAAAAUCGCCAUUUACGUUAAUUUAUUUUAGAUUUAAAGUUCUUUUCGAAAAUUUCUGGAGGACGUUUAAGCACUCUUGCAGCUAAUAGAAUACAAGCAAAACGUACCUAGUUAAGUUUCAAUUCCUCUUAAAUUCAACUUGCAUGUUUAAAUCGACACAAAUGACAAAUUUAUUUAAGGAGAGAACAUUUUAAAAUAGACAGGAUAAUCUUAUCCGAAUUAAAUGGGAAAAAUUUAGCCACUCAUUGCCUAGAAAAUAGAUGCAGAUCGGAAUAUUCAGAUUUUUACUGGUGUAGCUUUAACUUUAGAAUUUCAUUGUUAUUGUAAUUGCUUAAUUUCAGUAUUUUGUUAAAUUUAAAAUUAACCGAAUAGAUCUUCUGAAGUAAAAAUUCAAUAAACUAGGGAUGUGAGCUUUUGAAUAUCAGAAAUGCUUCAUCCAGCCUUACGUAGUUAAUUUAAUCUUUUGUAUAUAAUUAGUUAAAUGCUUUAUACAAAUUGUAAUUUCUAAAGUGAAUAUAAUCUAUCAUUUGAGCUCGUAUCUUUGUCGUAUCACCUUUCGUAUCUAAAAUAAUUCCUACUUAAUGUGUUUAAAGAAUUUUUACAAAUAUUAAGCAAAUUUAAUGUAUUAAAACCAAUGAUUUAAUAUGUGAUCUUGUAUAUCUUAUUUUGGUUUCAUGAAAUUGUAUUCUCAAAUUCCUUGCAAAUAAUUAAUGCUUGUACAUUUUUGAGCAACAUUAUUUUUAACUUUCAUCCAUAUGAUUGAUGCCUCCUAGCAUUAUAUUCUAGAAAUCCAUAUUUAUAAACUAAUGUAAUGUAAUAAUUAAGCCAAUUUCUUGAUAGGUAUUUUUAAUUUAAAAUACAAAACUUCUUGCGACGAAAGUUUCAAUGGUAUAACUUUGUAUACAAUAUCGCAAUCAAAUUACCUGGAUUUAAAAUUUCUUGUAAAUCCUCGAAAAAUGUAGAUUUUUUUUCAUAACAUGUUCGUUAAGAGAACCAUAACUAUACAUAAAUGAGAACCAUAACUAUACAUAAAUGAGAA